rnacentral:rRNA from 1 species
AGGGCACCAUCAGGAGUGGAGCCUGCGGCUUAAUUUGACUCAACACGGGAAAACUCACCCGGCCCGGACACUGGAAGGAUUGACAGAUUGAGAGCUCUUUCUUGAUUCAGUGGGUGGUGGUGCAUGGCCGUUCUUAGUUGGUGGAGUGAUUUGUCUGGUUAAUUCCGAUAACGAACGAGACUCUAGCCUACUAAAUAGAUCGUCGGCUUACAAACGCCGGCGAGACUUCUUAGAGGGACAGGCGGUGAUUCAACCGCACGAAACAGAGCAAUAACAGGUCUGUGAUGCCCUUAGAUGUCCGGGGCCCCACGCGCGCUACACUGAAGUGAUCAGCGUGCUUUUUCAACCUACUCUGUCAAGAGUGGGGAACCCAAUGAACCUUCUUCGUGAUUGGGAUAGGGGAUUGUAAUUAUUCCCCUUGAACGAGGAAUUCCCAGUAAGCGCGAGUCAUAAGCUCGCGUUGAUUACGUCCCUGCCCUUUGUACACACCGCCCGUCGCUACUACCGAUUGAAUGUUUU